AUGCUCACUUCAGCAGCAUAUAUACUAAAAUUGGAAUGAUACAGAGAAGAUUAGCAUGAUCCCUGUGCAAGGAUGACACACAAAUUCAUGAAGCAUUCCAUAUUUUU
ensembl:snRNA U6 U6 spliceosomal RNA